AAAGGUAUUCCGGUAGACGAUGGGGAUGCGUUCCAUUAGAUAGUAGGCGGGGUAACGGCCCACCUAGUCUUCGAUGGAUAGGGGUUCUGAGAGGAAGGUCCCCCACAUUGGAACUGAGACACGGUCCAAACUCCUACGGGAGGCAGCAGUGAGGGAUAUUGGUCAAUGGGCGAGAGCCUGAACCAGCCAAGUAGCGUGAAGGAUGACUGCCCUAUGGGUUGUAAACUUCUUUUAUAAAGGAAUAAAGUCGGGUAUGCAUACCCGUUUGCAUGUACUUUAUGAAUAAGGAUCGGCUAACUCCGUGCCAGCAGCCGCGGUAAUACGGAGGAUCCGAGCGUUAUCCGGAUUUAUUGGGUUUAAAGGGAGCGUAGAUGGAUGUUUAAGUCAGUUGUGAAAGUUUGCGGCUCAACCGUAAAAUUGCAGUUGAUACUGGAUAUCUUGAGUGCAGUUGAGGCAGGCGGAAUUCGUGGUGUAGCAGUGAAAUGCUUAGAUAUCACGAAGAACUCCGAUUGCGAAGGCAGCCUGCUAAGCUGCAACUGACAUUGAGGCUCGAAAGUGUGGGUAUCAAACAGGAUUAGAUACCCUGGUAGUCCACACGGUAAACGAUGAAUACUCGCUGUUUGCGAUAUACUGCAA
rnacentral:rRNA from 1 species